UACGAAGGGGGCUAGCGUUGUUCGGAAUCACUGGGCGUGAAGGGCGCGUAGGCGGCUGUUCAAGUCGGGGGUGAAAUCCCGUGGCUCAACCACGGAAUGGCCUUCGAUACUGGACGGCUCGAGACCGGAAGAGGUGAGUGGAACUGCGAGUGUAGAGGUGAAAUUCGUAGAUAUUCGCAAGAACACCAGUGGCGAAGGCGGCUCACUGGCCCGAUACUGACGCUGAGGCACGAAAGCGUGGGGAGCAAACAGG
rnacentral:rRNA from 1 species